rnacentral:lncRNA from 1 species
GAGGAGUUUGGCUAGCUGCUUGCUGCUUUUCCAACAUUCAACGAGUCUUGUUCAGAGAGAUUCAAAACCACAAAUAUGUAUAGGUGCAGAAAAUAAAUAAAUAUCAAGACUUAAAUAAAACAUAGAUUAAAUUAAUUUUAUCUCACAAAUGCAUCAUUGGAGUUCACCAAACAUCAACUUGGAAAAGAAAGAAAGUUAGCCACUUAUCGUGGUCUUUAAUACAAAAUGAG